CGCCCCCGCCCCUCGCCUGCCCGCCGAGCCCAGCGCGCGCGCGCGCGCCCCCGCAGGCCCGCCUCACCUGAGGGGGAGGCGGGCUGCUCGGGAGCCAAUGGCGAGCGACGCAGGCGGCCAGUGCCCACCCCAGCCCACGUCGCUCUCAGCCAAUCCGGAGGCGCUCAGCUGAGGCACAGCUGGGACGCGCCGCGGCGCUCACGUGCCCGUCUGUGUGCGGCCGGGGCGGAGAGAAAGGCGUUGGGGGGUGCGUCUGCGCCGGGACUAGGGGGCACCCAGCGCCUGCCGCUGGGGACGGCGGCGGCGGGCUUGCGGGAGGCGCUGCUGAGGGGAGUUGGCGGCUGCCCGGGCCCGAGGUUGGAUCACGUUUUCCCGCUCCCGCGCUCCCCUCAGGCGGCGUAGCCGAGUUCCCUGUGGGAAAGCGCAGCCCUGGCGGCUUGGGCGCGAGCCCCCCGGGUCUCCCCGCUCGGACGCGUUGCGGCGCGGCCUUCCUGCCAGGCUGCCCGCGCUCUGCCGCACGGCACGGGGGACCCCGCGGGGCCCCUGAGGCGUUCUGUCGCGAACUUAGUUAAUGCCAGGGAAAACCUCACAGACCCGUUGUUGCACGCCUCUCUCCGAGGAAGGAAGGUGUGAAGUUACUGUAGAAACGGCUUUCAGAAGCGAGAAUAUAUAAACCUGCAUUUCAGGGAGGGUCGGAAAAAUGGCUUUAGGCACACUUUUCUUUGUGCUUUCUUAGCGCUUUUGCAAGACGGUCUUGCGUGGAUUCAGAAGAGUCUCCUUGAGUUGCGUUCGCGGUGUAGACCGAGUCCGGAACCCAGGCUGCCUCCGGGGCAUGGGCCAGAGCCCGCCGGGUUGGAAGGAACCGGGCACGACGGUGCUGGCUAGCACUGCCUGUUUGCUGACAGGACUGCGAGUUACGGAACGAAACUUAAGCACUUUUUUGUCUUUAGAACCAUACAUUUCAAGCCUCUCAAGUCUUUAAAAAAAAAAAAAAAGCAUAUUUUGAGCUCCACAAAGAGCCACUGCGUAUCCCUCCCCGGUGGACAUCAGGGUAUUUUACUGCACCUUUGCCUGGUUGUCACAGUCUAACUCUGCGCUGGUUGUUGCGUGAUGUGGAUAUCUGCCUGUGGAGGAUUUCAAGUGUGUGAAUCACCAGCCCGGCUAACACAGCGUCUGACCCUGCUAGGAGAAGCCACUUGAACUGGUCAUUGCUGAGCUGUGACAGUAGUUGCAGAAGUGAAAGGACGGGAAGCUGAAGCGCCUGGCAAGGAUCUGUACCUGGUGGAGAACGUGAACGUGGCAGUGGCGGGCAGCAACACUUAAGCAGCUCUCCUGCUGGCGUUUAACUGCCACAGAGCCCCAGCGCCGCAGAGGCCAGCCAUACUUAGGAAAGUGUACGGCCUGCACUAAUUAAUUAAUGCUUGUGAGACAACCCUCUGGGAUUCUCAGAAAUACUUUGAGGAAUUCGUGAAUAAACAGGCAGAGUGGACAGAGAGAGAAAGGUCUUCCUUUGCCGUUGGUUCAUCCUGCAAUGGCCGCCACGGCCAGCGCGCUGCAGCCGGAGCACCGCGCCGAUCCAAAGCCAGGAGCCAGGUGCUUCUCCUGGUCUCCCAUGGGGUGCAGGGCCCAAGCACUUGGGCCAUCCUCCACUGCACUCCCUGGCCACAGCAGAGAGCUGGCCUGGAAGAGGAGCAACCGGGACAGAAUCCGGUGCCCCGACUGGGACUAGAACCCGGUGUGCCGACGCCACAGGCAGAGGAUUAGCCCAUUGAGCCGUGGUGCCGGCCUAAGAACAGACUCUUAAAGAUGCAUCUGGGACUCCAUCUUGGAGAUGAAACCCUGUGAGUUUGGUACCAUCUCUCAAAAUGGGCGAUAACAACCACUGUCUGGUAUCUAAUAGAUAAAAUACAAGGGUACAGGAACCAAGGAGCAGAAUGGAAAUCUAUUUAUAUCAUCAUUCCCAGUGACUUAUUUGAGACAUCUGAACUUUUCACCCCUGCUUUGGAUUUAGUGGGUCCUGAGGCCCUAUUAUCCAAGGGCAUAAUUAAGUAUUUCUUUGCAUUUUAAAAAAAUUUUGGGGUGGCUGUUUGGCCUAAUAGUGAGAAGCUGGUGGAGACACUCAUAUUCCAUAUUGGAGUGCCUGGGCCCAAGUCCCAGCUCCGCUCCCUAUUCCAGCUUCCUGCUAAUGCACCAGUGGGAGGCAGUAAGUGUUGGGUUAGGUACUCGGUUCCCUGCUACCCAUGUGGGAGUCCUCGACUGAAUUCUUGGCUGUUGUCUUUGGCUUGGCCCAGCCCCAACUAUGGCAGGAAGAGAGCACAUGAGAGACCUCUGUCUCUCUGUGGCUCUUUUCCUGCCUUCUAAAUAAAAUAAGUUAAUUUUAAAAAUUUAAAGAUUUAUUUAUUUAUUUGAAAGGCAGAGUUACAGACAGAGCACAAGAGAGAGACAGAAAGACAGAUCUUCUAUCCUCCAGUUCACUCCCCAAAUAACGGCAAUGGCUGGAGCUGAACCAGUCUGAAGCCAGGAGCCAGAAGCUUCCUCCCACUCUCCCAAAUGGGUGCAGGGGCACAAGCACUUGGUCCCAUCCUCUGCUGCUUUCCCAGGAUCAUUAGCAGGGAGCAAGAUCGGAAGUGGAGAAGCCAGGACCUGAACCAGUGCCCAUAUGGGAUGCUGGCAUCACAGGCUGCAGCUUUACCUGCUACACUACAGCCUGGCCCCAAUUAAAAUUGUUAAACAUCUCUAUGUAUUUAUUUGAGAGGAGAGUGAGCCCAUCUUCUGGUCCCCUCUGCAAGUGCCUUCAGUCCAGGUCUCCCAUGUGGAUUGCAGGAACCCAACUACUUGUGCUAUCAACACUGUCUCCCAGGGACCACAUGAGCAGGAAGCUGAGAUCAGCAGCAGGACCUGGAUGUUGAACCUAGCUGAUCUGAGUCUUGGUUGUCAUAACUAGUGUCUUUAUCAUAGGUCAAAUGCCUACUGAGGGCAGAUGCUGUGAUGUAGCAGGUGAGGCCACUGCCCGCGGUGCUGGCUCCCAUGUGGGCGCCAAUUCGAGUCCCAGCUGCUCCACUUCCAAUCCAGCUCUCUGCUAUGGCCUGGGAAAGCAGUGAAAGAUGGUUCGAGACCUUGGGCCCCUGCACCUGCUUGGGAGAACUGGAGGAAGCUCCUGGCUCCUGGCUUUGGAUUGGCGCAGCUCCGGCCACUGCAGCUAUCUGGGGAGUGAACCAGCAGAGGGAAGACCUCUCUCUCUCUCUCUCUCUCUCUCUCUCUCUUUCUCUCUCUCCCCCUCUGCUUCUGCCUCUCUGUAGCUCUGCCUUUCAAAUAAAUAAAUAAAUAAAUAAAUCUUUAAAAAAAAUGCCUACUUCACCCUACUCCUUUACAUUUUAAGCUUAAGCUGCCAUCCAGUCACUUGGGGCUCCAUUUGUGAAGAUACUAACAAGCAAGAAAAUGAAUCAUAUCCUGGCAAGAGGAAUUGCCCCGGUCAUGAGGAGGUGGUAGAGGCACUUCUGCACAGUGGGUGUGGGGAGGAAUAAGUCUGGCUCUCAGGAGAUCUGUUGGAGCCCGUUUUGGCUUCCCCAUGCCUUCCUGUCACAAGUAAAUGGACACCAUAAUCAGCGCCUAAGCAGGGCAAUGGUGACUAGAGGCUCAGUUCCCCCGGAGUGGAAGUGAAGAUCUGAGUUACCCUCCCAGGUGAGCUGCCUAGAGGUGCUAGAUGAGGGCGGAGAGUGGAGGAAGACGAUGGGUAUCAGGCAUGGCCCUCAGCUUGAUUGCAAAAGCUAUGUUGUUUAGAAAGCAUGGCUUUUCCCAACCAAACUCCUAGAGAAGCUACUCCUCGGUGGACCACAUUGUUAAGACAAGUGGAUCUGGGAAGUUCAGGAGUGUUCGCCAUGUUGCUCCACCCAGCCCUGUUCAGGCUUGCAUAUGGAGCCCCAGCUGCUGAGAAUGUCAGCUGACAGCUUGCAGCUGUGUGUUUCUCUGUGUGCUGCUGUCCUAUGGGGCAGCCUGAAACCAACGCUUAGCUGAUGCAUAGGUGCAAAGCUGUGGCACAGUCCAAUUGCAUUUGAGACAAGUCAGAAGGACCAUUCCAGCUCCUUUUUAGAUUAACUGACAUUUCAGUUGCAAAUUCAUCGUGCACUGGCUGCUUCCUUUGCCCAAGUCUGCUUUGCUGUGUUCUUUCCAAGAGAAGCUCUUUAGAGAUGUCCUGUAAUGAAUCUUGUGCAUGCAACUUUUGGCUUCAGAAUGUGUUUCCAGGCAGGUCAAUCUCAGACAGGAACCUAGAAUGUAACCCAAAGUUUCCCAGCAAAUCAAAAUCAGCUCUAGCAACGUGGCUUCCAUCAGUGGCAUACAGGUAGUUAAAAUUGCCAACUUGGCUUAUAACAUAAUUGUUGCUGAUUUCAGGUUAAACAAAUGUUUAUUAAUUCACUCAUGCUUUAAAAAAAUCUCUGCGGUUUUUUUUUUAGUGUGAUUUACCUAAAUAAGCACAAUAAAUAUUUAUAGAACAGUAGCAGAGCUCUACAAAAAGUACAAGUGCUUAUCACUAAGUAGGAGGUUGGAAAAUUUUGAGGGGAAAAUAAGGUGGGGAGGUAGAAGUGGGAGGGCAAAAAAAAUCUAUUCUUUUGGCCUAUUUAUUUCAUGUAGCUUUGUUUUUAAAUAAAGAUUUUGGUUACUUGUGGUUGAAAGAAAUGUUACUUGUUUAAGCUUCAAAAAUAGUGAGAUCCUCGUAAGUUUGACUUAUUGUGGUCUUUUUUUAAAAUGUAUUUUAGUAUGCCUGUCCCAGCUUAUUUUUUUUUAUUGUUAAGAUUGAUUUAUUUAUUUGAAAGGCAGAGUUAGAGAGAGGGAGAGAGAGAGAGAGAGAGAGAGUCUUCCACACGAUGUUCACUCCCCAAAUGGCCGCAAUGGACAGAGCUGGGCCAAUCUGAAGCCAGGAGCCAGGAGCUUCUUCCAGGUCUCCUACGCAAGUGCAGGGGCUCAAGGACUUGGGCCAUCUUCUGUUGCUUUCUCAGGCCACAGCAGAGAGCUGGAUCAGAAGUGGAGCAGCUGGAACUUGAACCGGCCCGCAUAUGGGAUGCCAGUGCUGUAGGCAGCAGCUUUAUCUGCUACUCCACAGCUCUGGCCCCACGGGUUUUAAGACUAAGUAAUCAACAAACACUUUUGUUAAGUUUUAAGUGUAAGGCUUAUAGGUUUAUUAUUCCUUCUUACAUAAUGAGUUUUUCAAUUUUCAACUCACAAUUUUCUAUAGUACAAAAGUUAAUCCAGGCUCACUAGGCUAAUCCUCCACCUGCAGUGUCGGCACACAGGGUUCUAGUCCAGGUUGGGGUGCCAGAUUCUGUCCCGGUUGCCCCUCUUCCAGGCCAGCUCUCUGCUGUGGCCCUGGAGUGCAGUGGAGGAUGGCCCAAGUGCUUGGGCCCUGCACCCCAUGGAGACCAGGAGAAGCACCUGACUUCUGGCUUUGGAUCAGCGCAAUGCUCUGGCUGCAGCGCGCCAACCGCGGCGGCCAUUGGAGGGUGAACCAACGGCAAAGGAAGACCUUUCUCUCUGUCUCUCUCUCUCACUGUCCACUCUGCCUGUCAAAAAAAAAAAAAAAAAAAAAAGAGAUAAUCCAUAGAAGGGAGUCAUCUACACUCAGUCUGACUUGAAUGUUACUCUGUGUUCUAUAGAAGGGAGACUGCUGAAGCUCACAUGCACUGUGAUGGAUCCUUCGCCCAGGGAGAUUUUAUGGCAUACUAAGUGGAAGCUGAAGUAAUUUAAGAAAUUCUUUGAAUAAUUUAAGAAAACAUCUUCAAAAACACUAUGGGCUAAACUUAGGGUUUUCUGGAUAGUGCAAAAGCAAGUCCCAUUCAGGAGACAUUAUUCUUUGAGUUGUGAAUUUUGAUCUUUUCCAAGGCUGGCAGUUGUAGUCCAAUUCUCUCCUGUGAUGCUGGGCAGUGGCAGAUAGGGCUGCUGGUGGUCACCCCUGAGGUCAGGCUGGGGAGGAACCAGUGCUGUACAAUGUGGUGCUUGGCUGAACUAGGAUGCUAGGUAGCUCCGGUGGACUACAUGCACUUUCGACUGAUAGUAUUUUCCACUCACAGUGAGUUUGCCAGGAUGCGGCCCCAUUGUAAGCUGAGAACCUGUACUCCUCAAGUAGCAAAAAUGUAAAAAAAAAAAAAAAAAAAAAAAAAAAAAUUAAA